GGUUAAGCGACUAAGCGUACACGGUGGAUGCCCUGGCAGUCAGAGGCGAUGAAGGACGUGCUAAUCUGCGAUAAGCGUCGGUAAGGUGAUAUGAACCGUUAUAACCGGCGAUUUCCGAAUGGGGAAACCCAGUGUGAUUCGUCACACUAUCAUUAACUGAAUCCAUAGGUUAAUGAGGCGAACCGGGGGAACUGAAACAUCUAAGUACCCCGAGGAAAAGAAAUCAACCGAGAUUCCCCCAGUAGCGGCGAGCGAACGGGGAGCAGCCCAGAGCCUGAAUCAGUGUGUGUGUUAGUGGAAGCGUCUGGAAAGGCGCGCGAUACAGGGUGACAGCCCCGUACACAAAAAUGCACAUACUGUGAGCUCGAUGAGUAGGGCGGGACACGUGGUAUCCUGUCUGAAUAUGGGGGGACCAUCCUCCAAGGCUAAAUACUCCUGACUGACCGAUAGUGAACCAGUACCGUGAGGGAAAGGCGAAAAGAACCCCGGCGAGGGGAGUGAAAAAGAACCUGAAACCGUGUACGUACAAGCAGUGGGAGCACGCUUAGGCGUGUGACUGCGUACCUUUUGUAUAAUGGGUCAGCGACUUAUAUUCUGUAGCAAGGUUAACCGAAUAGGGGAGCCGAAGGGAAACCGAGUCUUAACUGGGCGUUAAGUUGCAGGGUAUAGACCCGAAACCCGGUGAUCUAGCCAUGGGCAGGUUGAAGGUUGGGUAACACUAACUGGAGGACCGAACCGACUAAUGUUGAAAAAUUAGCGGAUGACUUGUGGCUGGGGGUGAAAGGCCAAUCAAACCGGGAGAUAGCUGGUUCUCCCCGAAAGCUAUUUAGGUAGCGCCUCGUGAAUUCAUCUCCGGGGGUAGAGCACUGUUUCGGCAAGGGGGUCAUCCCGACUUACCAACCCGAUGCAAACUGCGAAUACCGGAGAAUGUUAUCACGGGAGACACACGGCGGGUGCUAACGUCCGUCGUGAAGAGGGAAACAACCCAGACCGCCAGCUAAGGUCCCAAAGUCAUGGUUAAGUGGGAAACGAUGUGGGAAGGCCCAGACAGCCAGGAUGUUGGCUUAGAAGCAGCCAUCAUUUAAAGAAAGCGUAAUAGCUCACUGGUCGAGUCGGCCUGCGCGGAAGAUGUAACGGGGCUAAACCAUGCACCGAAGCUGCGGCAGCGACGCUUAUGCGUUGUUGGGUAGGGGAGCGUUCUGUAAGCCUGCGAAGGUGUGCUGUGAGGCAUGCUGGAGGUAUCAGAAGUGCGAAUGCUGACAUAAGUAACGAUAAAGCGGGUGAAAAGCCCGCUCGCCGGAAGACCAAGGGUUCCUGUCCAACGUUAAUCGGGGCAGGGUGAGUCGACCCCUAAGGCGAGGCCGAAAGGCGUAGUCGAUGGGAAACAGGUUAAUAUUCCUGUACUUGGUGUUACUGCGAAGGGGGGACGGAGAAGGCUAUGUUGGCCGGGCGACGGUUGUCCCGGUUUAAGCGUGUAGGCUGGUUUUCCAGGCAAAUCCGGAAAAUCAAGGCUGAGGCGUGAUGACGAGGCACUACGGUGCUGAAGCAACAAAUGCCCUGCUUCCAGGAAAAGCCUCUAAGCAUCAGGUAACAUCAAAUCGUACCCCAAACCGACACAGGUGGUCAGGUAGAGAAUACCAAGGCGCUUGAGAGAACUCGGGUGAAGGAACUAGGCAAAAUGGUGCCGUAACUUCGGGAGAAGGCACGCUGAUAUGUAGGUGAAGUGAUUUACUCAUGGAGCUGAAAUCAGUCGAAGAUACCAGCUGGCUGCAACUGUUUAUUAAAAACACAGCACUGUGCAAACACGAAAGUGGACGUAUACGGUGUGACGCCUGCCCGGUGCCGGAAGGUUAAUUGAUGGGGUUAGCGCAAGCGAAGCUCUUGAUCGAAGCCCCGGUAAACGGCGGCCGUAACUAUAACGGUCCUAAGGUAGCGAAAUUCCUUGUCGGGUAAGUUCCGACCUGCACGAAUGGCGUAAUGAUGGCCAGGCUGUCUCCACCCGAGACUCAGUGAAAUUGAACUCGCUGUGAAGAUGCAGUGUACCCGCGGCAAGACGGAAAGACCCCGUGAACCUUUACUAUAGCUUGACACUGAACAUUGAGCCUUGAUGUGUAGGAUAGGUGGGAGGCUUUGAAGUGUGGACGCCAGUCUGCAUGGAGCCGACCUUGAAAUACCACCCUUUAAUGUUUGAUGUUCUAACGUGGACCCGUAAUCCGGGUUGCGGACAGUGUCUGGUGGGUAGUUUGACUGGGGCGGUCUCCUCCUAAAGAGUAACGGAGGAGCACGAAGGUUGGCUAAUCCUGGUCGGACAUCAGGAGGUUAGUGCAAUGGCAUAAGCCAGCUUGACUGCGAGCGUGACGGCGCGAGCAGGUGCGAAAGCAGGUCAUAGUGAUCCGGUGGUUCUGAAUGGAAGGGCCAUCGCUCAACGGAUAAAAGGUACUCCGGGGAUAACAGGCUGAUACCGCCCAAGAGUUCAUAUCGACGGCGGUGUUUGGCACCUCGAUGUCGGCUCAUCACAUCCUGGGGCUGAAGUAGGUCCCAAGGGUAUGGCUGUUCGCCAUUUAAAGUGGUACGCGAGCUGGGUUUAGAACGUCGUGAGACAGUUCGGUCCCUAUCUGCCGUGGGCGCUGGAGAACUGAGGGGGGCUGCUCCUAGUACGAGAGGACCGGAGUGGACGCAUCACUGGUGUUCGGGUUGUCAUGCCAAUGGCACUGCCCGGUAGCUAAAUGCGGAAGAGAUAAGUGCUGAAAGCAUCUAAGCACGAAACUUGCCCCGAGAUGAGUUCUCCCUGACCCUUUAAGGGUCCUGAAGGAACGUUGAAGACGACGACGUUGAUAGGCCGGGUGUGUAAGCGCAGCGAUGCGUUGAGCUAACCGGUACUAAUGAACCGUGAGGCUUAACCUU
rnacentral:rRNA from 1 species